UCUGGUGCCAGCAGCCGCGGUAAUUCCAGCUCCAAUAGCGUAUAUUAAAGUUGUUGCAGUUAAAAAGCUCGUAGUUGAAUUUCGGGGUUCCAACGUUGGUCGGGCCACUGUAUGUACUGGCGUGUGGAGUUUCUACCUUCUGGGGGCCCUAAUGGCCUUUAUUUGGGGUGGGGGGGAACCAGGACCUUUACCUUGAAAAAA
rnacentral:rRNA from 1 species